rnacentral:lncRNA from 1 species
UUGGGGGGAUUUGGAGGGGAGGGGAGGUGAGGAGAGAUGAGUUAUUAUAAUUUUAAUUACAUUGACAUAAUUAUCCUCAUAUUUAUUUGAAAAUACUAAAAUUAUCCUUUUAAAAUUUAUAUUAAAUCAUAUUAAGUUAUUUGCUUGUUGCCAUUUUUUUUACGUUGCCAACAUCCUGUGUUUAUUUUUUACCUGUACUAUUUUUAUUUUUUUGUUUUAAUGUACUUUUUUUACAAGAUACUUGUUUUUAUUUUUUA